AUUGAACGCUGGCGGCAUGCCUUACACAUGCAAGUCGAACGGAUUUGAGGGGCUUGCUCCUCAAGUUAGUGGCGAACGGGUGAGUAAAGCAUCGGAACGUACCCAGUAGUGGGGGAUAACGUAGCGAAAGUUACGCUAAUACCGCAUACGACCUGAGGGUGAAAGCAGGGGAUCGCAAGACCUUGCGCUAUUGGAGCGGCCGAUGUCGGAUUAGCUAGUUGGUAGGGUAAAAGCCUACCAAGGCGACGAUCCGUAGCCGGUCUGAGUGGACGACCAGCCACACUGGGACUGAGACACGGCCCAGACUCCUACGGGAGGCAGCAGUGGGGAAUUUUGGACAAUGGGCGAAAGCCUGAUCCAGCCAUGCCGCGUGAGUGAAGAAGGCCUUCGGGUUGUAAAGCUCUUUCAGACGGAAAGAAAUCUUCUGGGCUAAUACCCCGGGAGGAUGACGGUACCGUAAGAAGAAGCACCGGCUAACUACGUGCCAGCCGCCGCGGUAA
rnacentral:rRNA from 1 species